AUGUCGAUUUCCAACCUUCGAGGCCGAUGGAUGCCCUCCUCCAUCACGGAGGAGGACAUGCUGAAGUUGAGAGAGGCCAGGUUCUUGACCGGUGAAAUCUCGCAUAGGCUGCCUGCUCAAGGGCAGGUCAUUCCCACUCCCAAGCCUGGUGAGAGUGUGGUGUUCAUGUCUCACUUCCUUCGGGGGCUAGGCUUCCCGAGGGAUCCCUUCGUGAGGGGGCUCAUGUAUUAUUAUGGGCUGGAAUUUCACGACUUAGCCCCGGAGUCCAUCCUCCAUAUUUCCUCAUCCAUCGUCGUGUGUGAAGCCUUCCUCCGUAUCACUCCUCACUUCGGACUAUGGCUCAAGACCUUCAAAGUAGAGCCGAAGAUGAUCGAGGGACGGCACGCGGGGUGCGGAGGUGCUUUUAUAAGCAAGAAUGCUGGUGCUCCAUGGCCCGAGGGCUCUUUUCAAGAGGAGUCCAGCUUAUGGCAACGAGAGUGGUUUUAUAUUACCGCUACCAGGGCCCCCAAGUGGAUGGCGCCACCUGCCUUUCGCUCGGGUCCCCCGCCACGACUGGCGUCAUGGGUCAAUACGGGGCUGGACUGGGGGCCGGCAAAGGACGUGCCCCUGUUGCAGGGCCGCAUCCGAGAUCUCCUAGAAAGAGACAUCAGUCUGGUCGUGGUGACGCAGGUUAUGUUAAUUCGCCGAGUUCUGCCCUGCAAACAUUGCCCCCUCCGCCUGUGGGAGUUCAACCCGGAGAGACCACGAGUUCUCCAACAUUUUCUUGGCAUGGCGCCCGUGGAGAUGUACAAAUUGUUCUUCGGACCACAAGUAGUGUGUCCGGAUUCUACGGAGGACGCAGGUCUGAGCUGCAAUCGUCCGGAUACUCAAGUAAGUAGCCUUGUGCCCGGACUCGCUAUCCGUAUAUUUAUCAUAAAAUUGCCCCUAAAAGAGUUGUCCUUUAAACAGGGGUGGAUAGCGAAAGCAAAGCUAAUCAGGUGUCUGGCCCCCCUCCCCGAGACCACGCCGGGUCCCGUGCUAGUCAGGAUGUUGGAGGUUGUGCCUUCAAAGGGAAGCGAGGGAGGGGACAAGGAAGCUACAGCCUCCUCGAAGGAGGUUGUUCGGAAGGGAAGAAUCGAAAAUUCCUCUCCUCAGGGGAAGAAGAGGACCGCCUCUGAAGACCCGGAGACCAUGGCCUUAAAGCAGGGGAAGAAAUCUUCGCCAGAGGGUCCUGUGCUGGGGGAUACUUCGGCCGAAUUAUGCCCUCAAGGGGAUCAGCCCUCCACCGAGCCAUAA
rnacentral:rRNA from 1 species